GACGAACGCUGGCGGCGUGCUUAACACAUGCAAGUCGAACGGAAAGGCCCUGCUUUUGUGGGGUGCUCGAGUGGCGAACGGGGGAGUAACACGUGAGUAACCUGCCCUUUACUUUGGGAUAACUCCAGGAAACUGGGGCUAUUACCGGAUAGGAGCUCCUGCUGCAUGGUGGGGGUGGGAAAGAGUCGGCGGUUGGGGAUGGACUCGCGGCUUAUCAGUUUGUUGGUGGGGUAGUGGCUUACCAAGGCUUUGAUGGGUAGCCGGACUGAGAGGGUGACCGGCCACAUUGGGACUGAGGUACGGCCCAGACUGCUACGGGAGGCAGCAGUGGGGAAUAUUGCACGAUGGGCGGAAGCAGGAUGCAGCAACGCCGCGUGCGAGAUGACGGCCUUCGGGUUGUAAACCGCUUUCGCCUGUGACGAAGCGUGAGUGACGGUAAUGGGUAAAGAAGCACCGGCUAACUACGUG
rnacentral:rRNA from 1 species